ensembl:lncRNA
GUGGCCGGGAACAUGAUGAUGUGUCUGUGUGUGUGUUGUGGGCUGCACAGUGGACAGAAUUAAGGUUUCCCAGAGACUAUGGGUUGAGGAGGAAUUGGAAGUUUGUCGGCUUAGACCUGGUGUCAUUCCAUCAGUGUUAAACUUCCCGGCUCAUCUUGGAAGAGUACGUGCCAGGAAGAGUACGUGCCAGAAAGACCACGACCAAGCAGCCUUGAGAUCUUAGGCAGCGUCUCCCUCAGGUCCCUCUCUAUCUCCCCACACAUCCACCAACCACUGGAACACAUCUCCAAAGUUCUGCCAGGCCAGCUCAGCUUCCCUUCAGAAGAAGUGCUGCCAGAUGAAGGAGCCUUUUGAGAGGCAGCUGGCAUCGUGAUUGGACUGUACUUUGGUCUGUUCCAAUCCAGCUUCAGCUCCAGAGACGGCAGGCGGGACGAGUCAACAG